rnacentral:rRNA from 1 species
AAUUACUACAGCCAUUUGUUUCAGAUAAAUAGCUUCCUAACCACAUUUUCAAUUUUAGACCUCAAAUCAGGUGGGACUACCCGCUGAACUUAAGCAUAUCAAUAAGCGGAGGAAAAGAAACUAACAAGGAUUCCCCUAGUAACGGCGAGUGAAGAGGGAAAAGCCCAAAUUUGUAAUCUGGCUCUUUUAGAGUCC